AGUGAACGCUGGCGGUAGGCCUAACACAUGCAAGUCGAACGGCAGCACAGUAAGAGCUUGCUCUUACGGGUGGCGAGUGGCGGACGGGUGAGGAAUACAUCGGAAUCUACUUUUUCGUGGGGGAUAACGUAGGGAAACUUACGCUAAUACCGCAUACGACCUACGGGUGAAAGCAGGGGAUCUUCGGACCUUGCGCGAUUGAAUGAGCCGAUGUCGGAUUAGCUAGUUGGCGGGGUAAAGGCCCACCAAGGCGACGAUCCGUAGCUGGUCUGAGAGGAUGAUCGGCCACACGGGAGGUGAAACAGGGUCAAGACUACUACGAGAGGCAGCAGUGGGGAAUAUUGGACAAUGGGCGCAAGCCUGAUCCAGCCAUACCGCGUGGGUGACGAAGGCCUUCGGGUUGUAAAGACCUUUUGUUGGGAAAGAAAAGCAGCAGGUUGAUACCCCGCUGUUCUGACGGUACCCAAAGAAUAAGCACCGGCUAACUUCGUG
rnacentral:rRNA from 1 species